rnacentral:misc_RNA from 1 species
GUAUUAUCCUAAUCUUUGUUUCUAAGUGUUCAUUUGGGUAGGAAUCGUUGCUAUAUUUGGAAAAAUGUUCUUAAAACGCGAGAUUUGUUGAAGAAUAGUUUUGUUUGGCAUGUAGUGGAUGGUAAAGACAUUUGGGUGUGGAGGUCCCUUCACUUCCUGAUAGUGCUAAUUCUUACAUUGAAACUGAGAAGGUAGACAUGAUGGAUGAUAUUAAAAUUUAUAACUUGAUGAGAGUUAAUGAGUUCAGAUCGAAUAAGGAAGUGAUUGAUUCUAUUUUCUAGAGAUGCUGCUCCAAUUAAAC